rnacentral:misc_RNA from 1 species
AAGUCGUAACAAGGUUUCCGUAGGUGAACCUGCGGAAGGAUCAUUACCGAAAAGUAAAAAAAACCAAGCUCGUGAUGGUGCAAGUUUAGGUGCGUGUAGUAUGGAUUCGCGCUCUUGCCCUCAUGUUGCAAAAAGACAAGAUUUUGACUGAAAUGGAUCUUGCGUUUUGGGACAGUCUCUCGGGGCUGUUCCGGGCGUGAGAGCUGAUGGUCAAAAACUUUUCAUAAGUCUUCUGUUGUUCAUGCCCUCGCGGGGGCAUGGCUCAGGAGCAGAGCCUAAAAAUUUUGAAAACAAGAUAAAAAGAUAAAAAGACGUAAAAAUUAACCUCGUGUGGUGGAUCACUUGGCUCGUGG